UUACAGACAGCAGACACACUUUGUGGCUUUUCUGCACUCUGUAAUGACGGUGGGAUCCAAAGAUCAAGGCUCUUAUCAGACAAAAGCACUCGGGCUCCUUACUGGCAGCUUCUAAGUACAGAGGAAACUAGGGUGGACUACCCAUGCUUCCAUAGAGAAUUUUCAGCUUUCCGGCUGCACGUUCUGUGGGAAGGACCAUUCUCCCAGUUACUCAAGUCAAACUGAACUUCCAUUUCUUGUUCCGGCCAAUCAAGAGUACCAGUCGCCAGAAAUUAAAAAUAGCAUGUUGCUGCAGGACAAGGUGGUAAAUGACACAGAACUUUGGGAAAGUCUGGCUGGCUCCAGCCAAGCCUCACCCUCUGCCACUCCCUGUCAGGGAGGAAGCGUGAGGCUCCUGGGAGUAUGGCCAGGAAAAGGUUGUGGCCAGGCAAGGGCGCGGAAAGGAUUUUUCCUUUGAGUCAGGGAUGACAGCUGUCCUCGUGAGGGGAGGAGUGGAAAACUGGAUCUACUGAGCAGUGUCUGCUAAGUCCAAAGAGGCCUUCAGAAGCAAUAGAACUGCCAGCUACAGUAGUUCGUGGGACAUCAAAGCCGCGAUUAGCACAGCUUCCUGGCUGUCGCACUCCGCGUAUUUAUGGCGCGUUGCACAUUUAAGUGCUAUUCUCAUAAGACGUUUCAGCUGUCAAAGCGCCAUAUUUGGGCGAUAAAAGUGACUGAAAUUACCAGGGGGUCCUGCGUUCCCAAUCCCAGCAUUGUGCCAAAGCCAACGACAACCAAAAACCACCGAAUUUAUUUCACCAUUUGCGGAACACCUGUGAGCAGCCUGGUGGACAUGCAGUACACAUGGGGUCCAGAGAGAGGGGGCUGCAGCAGGUAAGCCUGUACAUGUGAGUUUAUGCCAGUAUCAAGGAGGGGGUCUCUGAAGAAACAAAAAGCACUAUUUCCGUUCUUCGUUUUAAGGUAGGGGUGUGUGAUCUGAUGGCAAAUUGAGACAGGACACUAACUCCCUCUCUUCUGACACCCAGACAAGAUGGAUGCCCUCCAACCUGACUUCUGGUUUUGUUCCUUCUCCUUCAAAAUGGCGCAUCGUGUCUGUGUCCUGUGGAAAAUAUGGUAGGUUUGGCCAGGGAGAGCAAUGGCCAGGACAUACAAAGAGAAGGAGCCUGUGACCACAAUGUGUUCCCUGAGCUGAAGGACCCUGAGAGACCACAUCUGGUCCCUGUGAGCAUAGGCUUCCCACAGCUCCUUUCAGGUCACCAGGUCUUAAGAGUAAGCCAAUGAUGCUGGGAAGUGACAUCCCCAACAGACCAAUCAUUUCCCAGAGACGAAUCUCAGCAAGGCCAGAGCAGGCUGGGUUUCCAAGGACAGUCGGUCGUCGCUGACGUGCAGUCAUCCAGUGUUGCAGUGGAUCCUUGGGGCAGCAUCUCUGACCUCGAGAGAAGCAGAGGGAGGAGAGAACAUAGAAAACAAUCGACCAUGGCUUUCUCUUCCUCUCGGUUUAACUUCGAAACAAGAGGCACAAAAGGUCAACCACACAAGAAUGGAUUUUGCAUGAUUCCAGGGAGAAUUUAACAUUGGUUGGUUCGUCCAGCAAACACUUGCUGAAUGACCCCUACCCGGUCCCCCUGCCCUGACACACUCUGUGGUGUCCCCAACCUUGUACAAAGGAGCUCUAAAGGGCCACGUGUCACAGGAAGACUGACAUAGACAGGAAAACACAUAGGCAGUAGGUGGAGAGGAACUGAAGCAGGAGAAUGACAGGAAAGGGCUGUUGAGGGACAGGACAGUCAGACUCUGCAGAAACUCCCAGAUAACCACCUGCAUAAUCCGUGCUCUGGGAGAAGGGCAGAACAAGCCCUAAGAAAAGGCCAGGAAAGAGCCUACAUGAGUACUACAGAAAGCAAUAUGCUGGACGAGACCAGGGAGAGCCUAGGGAUGAGACCUUGAAAGCUGUCAGGCCUUGGAUUUUACCCAAGGUCCACAGGGGAGUCAAUGGAGGUCUUUAUCUGUCGAUGUGUUUAACAACUAUUGUUUAAAAAAAAAAAAGCAACAGGAAUCUUGUGUAGGCAUUGCCCACCUCCAAUAAGCACUUUUAUUUCACCCAAACUCCGCCCAUCUCGAUGUUAUUUUAUCGUGUCUUGUUUUUUGAGAUAGAGUCCGGUGUACUCGCAGGCUGACAUCAAACCCGUUAUGUAACUGAGGAUCACCUUGAACUGCUCUCUCUCCCUACUGCCUCCGUCCAUCCCCCCACCCCCA
rnacentral:sRNA from 1 species